rnacentral:rRNA from 1 species
GAUGAACGCUGGCGGGCGUGCCUUAUGCAUGCAAGUCGAACGGGAAAGUAGCAAUACUUUCCAGUGGCAGACGGGUGAGUAACGCGUAGGAAUCUACCCCUAGGUGGAGCAUAGCCCCGAGAAAUCGGGGGUAAUUCUCCAUAGUUCCCGCAAGGGUAAAGGACUUAACGGUCCGCCAAGGGAGGAGCCUGCGUCCUAUCAGCUAGUUGGUAAGGUAAAAGCUUACCAAGGCGAUGACGGGUAGCUGGAUUGAGAGGUCGAUCAGCCACAACUGCACUGAGACACGGGCAGUACACCUACGGGUGGCAGCAACCAAGGAAUAUUGCGCAAUGGACGAAAGUCUGACGCAGCGACGCCGCGUGGAGGAAGACGGCCCUAGGGUUGUAAACUCCUUUUGCCAAGCCGUUCACAGCUUGGAGAAUAAGCCCCUACUAACUACGUGCCAGAAGUCUCGGUAAUACGUAGGGGGCAAGCGUUAUCCGGAAUUUACUGGGCGUAAAGUGUGCCUAGGGCGCCCCAACAAGUCGUGCUUUAAAAUACUAAGGCUUAACCUUAGAGCUGAGUGCGAUACUAUUGGGGUAGAGGAUUGAUAGGGUAGCUGGACAGUACGUGUAGCAGUAAAAUGCGUUGAUAUGUACUGGAACACCAAGGGCGAAGGCAGGCUGCUGGGUUUUUCCUGACGCUGAGGCACGAAAAGCUAGGGUAGCGAAACAGAUUAGAUACCUGUGUAGUCCUAGCCGUAAACGAUGUCCGCUAACUCUAGCUGCUUGCAGCUGGGGUUCAAGCUAACGCGUUAAGCGGACCGCCUGGGGAGUACGACCGCAAGGUUAAAACUCAAAGGAAUUGACGGGGACCCGCACAACUGGUGGAGCGUGUGGUUUAAUUCGAGACAAAGCGAAACACCUUACCAGGGCUUGACAUAAUACCGUUUUAUGCCUAUGGAAACACUGGCAGAUCCGCAAGGAUGGUAUUACAGGUGAUGCAUGGCUGUCGUCAGCUCGUGUCGUGAGAUGUUCCCUUAAGUGGGGCAACG